AUAAACAUUGAGAAGUGUUUUGAAAACGGUUAAAGCGUAUUUAUCUUUUUUCAAAAAUUAUCACGCAGUAAAUGAAAAGGAAAAAGACAUUGCAGAACUAUUUCAUUAUACCUCCGUAUCAUAACUAAUCUAACACAUGGGAGUCAAAUGUCAUUCAAGAAAAAAAUAAUGCUGUCAUAAAUUGGGCUAUUGAAACUAUCAUCUAAGUCUUUGAUGAAUGAUGAUAGUUUCAAUAACCCCAUAUGUAGUACCUUUAUUUUGUAUAAUUAUUUUAAUUUUAUGUAAUUAGGAACGUAUUUGUCAAUAAAAUAAAGUGAAAGUCGAGUGAGUGUGAUUGUGUAAAUUAUGCAGUGGUUGAUGUUUUAUGUGAAAGUAUUUACUUGUAUGACCGAAGAAAAACCCAUGGCAAACCUGUACAGUGCAUCCACCUCGCGGACAUGACAAUUACUACAUAGUGCACAUAUAUGGGCUGCCUCUAAUGCCACCUACGAGUAAUGCAGCUUAUUCUUCUAGCUAUCUCAAGACACAAGCCUGCUGCUGUCUAUUUACUGACUUGCUGCUGAAGUUUUUCACUGCGCUCUACACCUGUGACCAAUAUUCAUCGUUCUCUUCCAUGGACGAAGAUCCUAAUUCAUGGAGC